AAUUUUGGACAAUGGGGGAAACCCUGAUCCAGCCAUCCCGCGUGUAUGAUGAAGGCCUUCGGGUUGUAAAGUACUUUUGGCAGAGACGAAAAGGUAUCCCCUAAUACGGGAUACUGCUGACGGUAUCUGCAGAAUAAGCACCGGCUAACUACGUGCCAGCCGCCGCGGUAAUACGCAGGGUGCAAGGGUUAAUCGGAAUUACUGGGGGUAAAACGGUAUGAAGCGGGUCGGAAAGAAAAGAGUGAAAACCCGGGGCUCAAACUUGGAACUGCAUUUUUAACUGCCGAGCUAGAGUAUGUCAGAGGGGGGUAGAAUUCCACGUGUAGCAGUGAAAUGCGUAGAUAUGUGGAGGAAUACCGAUGGCGAAGGCAGCCCCCUGGGAUAAUACUGACGCUCAGACACGAAAGCGUGGGGAGCAAACAGG
rnacentral:rRNA from 1 species